AUACGGAGGACGCGAGCGUUAUCCGGAUUCAUUGGGUUUAAAGGGUGCGCAGGCGGCCGUGCAAGUCAGCGGUGAAAGCCCGGGGCUCAACCCCGGAAGUGCCGUUGAUACUGCGUGGCUGGAAUGCGGUCGAGGCGGGCGGAACGUGGCGGGUAGCGGGGGAAAGCGUAGAUAUGCCACAGAAAGCCGAUAGCGGAGGCAGCCCGCCAGGCCUGCAUUGACGCUCGGGCACGAAAGCGUGGGGAUCGAACAGGAUUAGAUACCCGGGUAGUCCACGCCGUAAACGAUGGGCGCUCGUCGUCGGCGGCAGACAGUCGGCGGCCAAGCGAAAGCGAUAAGCGCCCCACCUGGGGAGUACGGUCGCAAGGCUGAAACUCAAAUGAAUUGACGGGG
rnacentral:rRNA from 1 species